UUACACUCAACAUCGUCGAAG
rnacentral:miRNA from 1 species